UUGUUUCUUGUUUUUGUUUCUUGUUCUUGUUUCUUGUUUCUUGUUUCUUGCGCCUUAUUUCA
rnacentral:ribozyme from 1 species